rnacentral:rRNA from 1 species
GAUGAACGCUGGCGGCGUGCCUAACACAUGCAAGUCGAGCGGACCAAUGCUCAUUUCAGCUUUGCUGAUUUGAGCAACGGUUAGCGGCGGACGGGUGAGUAACGCGUGGGCAACCUGCCCUGUGCAGGGGGAUAACACAGCGAAAGCUGUGCUAAUACCCCAUAAGACUACGCUAUCGCAUGAUAGAGUAGUCAAAGCUUUAGCGGCACAGGAUGGGCCCGCGUCUGAUUAGCUAGUUGGUGGGGUAACGGCCUACCAAGGCGACGAUCAGUAGCCGACCUGAGAGGGUGAUCGGCCACACUGGAACUGAGACACGGUCCAGACUCCUACGGGAGGCAGCAGUGGGGAAUAUUGCACAAUGGGGGAAACCCUGAUGCAGCAACGCCGCGUGAGCGAAGAAGGCCUUCGGGUCGUAAAGCUCUGUCCUAAGGGAAGAAGCAUGACGGUACCUUAGGAGGAAGCCCCGGCUAACUACGUGCCAGCAGCCGCGGUAAUACGUAGGGGGCGAGCGUUAUCCGGAAUCACUGGGCGUAAAGGGUGCGUAGGCGGCCGAGUAAGCCAGAGGUGAAAGGCUACGGCUUAACCGUAGUAAGCCUUUGGAACUACUUGGCUUGAGUGCAGGAGAGGAGAGUGGAAUUCCUAGUGUAGCGGUGAAAUGCGUAGAUAUUAGAGGAACACCAGUGGCGAAGGCGACUCUCUGGACUGUAACUGACGCUGAGCACGAAAGCGUGGGGAGCAAACAGGAUUAGAUACCCUGGUAGUCCACGCCGUAAACGAUGAGUGCUAAGUGUCGGGGGUUCACACCCUCGGUGCCGGAGUUAACGCAAUAAGCACUCCGCCUGGGGAGUA